GUAAGCGGAUGGGCUCGGCCUCAAGGACAGGGUGCUCGGCUGAAAAAAAAGCUAGCGGCGAUCACCGGUGCCAGGGCUCUCCAGAAACGGAGCCCAUCUAACCAAUGCCCAGCACACUCGCUCUGCUCCACACACGAGACCACCUCCGACCCGCACUAAGUUGGCCAACUGCACUCUGGAGGCGGCGGCAGCCAGCGAGGGAGAAGGGAAAGGCUGUCCCGGGACCCCGAGGAGGACUGCCCCGCCCCCGGGAACCGGGUGCGGCGUAAAACAACCCCGGCUCCGGGCCGACCCUUCCUGGCCCCUUGGAGGCCCAGGCGGGGCGGCGGGGGGCGACGCGGCAGGGGUCUCCGCGCCCAGGCUCCCGCGGAGCGGCCACACGUGGAGGUUCCCACUUUGGGGUCGCGGCCGCAGCAGCACCGGGCGGGAUGCUGUCCGCGCUGCCCGCGUACGGCCGCGGCCUGAGUGGAGACGCCUGCCCCCAGCCCCGAGGCCUCGGCCCCCGUCCGCCCUCUCUCCCUGCUCGGCGGCCUCGUACUCACGCUGACUUCAUGGCAGCAGGCUCCACGCCGCCCAAACGCGCAUGCGGGACGGCUGGCUGGCGAAGACUGCGGGACGUUAGGACCGGCAGCAAGAACUAGAACUUCGCGGCUAAGGCGCGGUGCUCUGCGAAGCCGGCGGCGACGCUAAGAGCCCAGGUGAGCUCCCGCCUGGCGCAUUUCAAACGGGCCAAUCAGCGCCCGUCCGCAGGGAGAGGCAGGACCUCCGCGGAAGUGACUUCGCUGCCGGAAGUGGCGCUUGUCUCCUAGGCGACCGACGCUGAAAGGGCCGCGGAGUCGCGUGUCAGGGCUGGAGGGAGAUCUUGAGGUCCUCCCAGUGACUGACCUGGCUCAUUCUCCGAAAGUGGUUGACAGGCCACUACGAGAGCUCUUGAGAGAAGCUUUGUGACAUGAAAUUCAUCAAAUGAAGCAAGAUUCAUUUUUAAAGAAUAAUACAAAGCUCCAGAGUAAUAUGCUUAAUCCAAAUGUUUAAAUAGAAUUUAAAACCACAUUUUAAGUAAAUUUAAAAUUAAUGAAAUAUCAAUAGUUUGCCUUAACAAGGACUUGCUUGAACCAUAUUCUCCUUUUAAAAUCACACACACAGAAUCAGUGUACAUUUAGAGAAAUUUCCCCAGCUGAAUAACAUUUUUGACAUGAAUUCAUUCAAAAGACACCAACCAUUAUGAAUAUUUUAGGCCAUGAUAAGCUGUAACCACCUCCGGCUUAUGGUGGUUAGGAUGUUGCAGCUUAAUGUUGACAUCUGG
rnacentral:lncRNA from 1 species